GCCGCCAUAGCUCAAUGGAUAGAGCAAUCCCGUCCUAAGGGAAAGAUGUGGGUUCGAUUCCUGCUGGUGGCA
rnacentral:tRNA from 1 species